rnacentral:rRNA from 1 species
UACGUAGGGUGCGAGCGUUUGUCCGGAAUUAUUGGGCGUAAAGAGCUUGUAGGCGGUCUGUCGCGUCUGCUGUGAAAAUCCGGGGCUCAACCCCGGACUUGCAGUGGGUACGGGCAGACUAGAGUGUGGUAGGGGAGACUGGAAUUCCUGGUGUAGCGGUGAAAUGCGCAGAUAUCAGGAGGAACACCGAUGGCGAAGGCAGGUCUCUGGGCAUUACCUGACGCUGAGGCACGAAAGCGUGGGUAGCAAACAGG